AACCACGGUGGCGAACAGCAUCUGAGAGGGACCAGCAAGAUAGACGUCUGGCCCAGGAACUGGCUGGUGCCGGUGAUCCUGUUAACGCUCAGGGAGUGGAACUCCUACGGCUACAAGCUCAUGGAGCAGGCGGCAGCCUUCGGGUUCGGGGCGAUGAACCCGGGCACGCUAUACAGGACCUUGAGGCACAUGGAGAGGGACGGACUGUGCCAGUCCGAGUGGGAC
rnacentral:misc_RNA from 1 species